AAGCAGAGACAAAACGCUUGCGUUUUGAACGUUGGCUCCGCCAACGGCCCCAAAGGGGCGAGUGAACAAUGUUCACGAGUAAAACCGACCGCUUGCGAG
rnacentral:ncRNA from 24 species